rnacentral:rRNA from 1 species
GACGAACGCUGGCGGCGUGCUUAACACAUGCAAGUCGAACGAAGAGCGAUGGAAGCUUGCUUCUAUCAAUCUUAGUGGCGAACGGGUGAGUAACGCGUAAUCAACCUGCCCUUCAGAGGGGGACAACAGUUGGAAACGACUGCUAAUACCGCAUACGAUCUAAUCUUGGCAUCGAGGAUAGAUGAAAGGUGGCCUCUACAUGUAAGCUAUCACUGAAGGAGGGGAUUGCGUCUGAUUAGCUAGUUGGAGGGGUAACGGCCCACCAAGGCGAUGAUCAGUAGCCGGUCUGAGAGGAUGAACGGCCACAUUGGGACUGAGACACGGCCCAGACUCCUACGGGAGGCAGCAGUGGGGAAUCUUCCGCAAUGGACGAAAGUCUGACGGAGCAACGCCGCGUGAGUGAUGACGGCCCUUUCGGGGUUGUAAAGCUCUGUUAAAUCGGG